AUUAAGCGCACCUGAAUAUAAACCGCACUCACUGAAUUAUUAAAAAAUAUGUAUUUUGUACAUAAAUACGCCACACAUGUCUAUAAGCCGCAGGUGCCUACCGGUACAUUGAAACAAAUGAACUUGGUCACUAUCUUCCUCCUCCUGUGCACUGAAACCACUCUAGUCAUCUCCUUCGGUGUCGGAGAUGAAUAGCCUCAGAAUUGCUUCAUCCGAUGUUGGAUCGUUUUCAUUGUCGCUCUCGUCACUUUCAUCCGGAGGCAAAUACCCCGCUGAGCUCAUGCUGCCCCUUCAACACGCAGCAGUCCAGCCUUUCGAAACCCAUUGAUGAUAGUGGAUUUUUUGACAAUACUCCACGCUGUCAGGACCCACUGGCAGACUUGACCAUAAGUUGCUCUUCGCAUGCAGCCCGUUUUAGUGAAGGAUUUCUCCCCACUUGUCAUCCAAGACUCUUGAACAAGGAGCGCCACCUUAAAUGCACGAUUUACACUGAUGUCGAGUGGCUGCAAAUACUUUGGGCCAUCUGCUUUUCUUCCCUCUGAAAGCCUUUGUUGUCUUUUUGCACUGAGUCAGUUCCUCACGCUGCUGUUUCCAACGUCUUAUCAUCGACUCAUUAAGGCCAAGCUCCCGUGCAGCAGCUCUCUUUCCUUUUCCAACAGCCAGAUCGAUCGUCUUCAACUUGAAAGCUGCAUCAUAUGCAUUUCUCCGUGUCUUUGCCAUGAUGAGGGUGACAAAAUUACUACCGUAAUCAGAAUGAUGGGAAGUUUGAGCGCGCUCGAUUUUACGUCACAUUAUGUGACGGUGCUCAGUUUUUUGGCGGCAUGAAUCUUGUGAAAGCGGGAAAAAUUAGCCGUGUCAUUGUAUAAACCGCGAGGUUCAAAGCGUGGGAAUUAAGCAUAUAGUCCGGAAAUUACGGGUAAUAACGUUUAGACGGCGUCGGGGCUGUUGUACACAUUGGCUGAGAACCCAAGAGGUCACCCUUGGGUGAACGAGAGCAACUGUUUGACAUGUUAUGUUUUGUGUUCCAUCAUCCAACCCACAGCCAUGAACACAUUGAAAUCUUGAUAGUGAAUGGAGAAUUGCUCUUCUUCAGACAAAGAGAAGGACCGUUCUACCCAACUCUCCGACUGCUGCAUAAGUACCCUUUUAUUCUUCCACACCAACAAGUAAAGGGGCCAUCAAGUUUGUCCUAAGUGGAGCCAAUAUCAUGUGCACUGGAUUGACAUCCCCAGGUGCCAAACUCUACCCUUCUGCCUCAGAAACAGUAGUUGCCAUAAUGGCGGAGGGCAAGCAAUAUGCGCUUUGGAUCGGAGUCAUGAAGAUGUCUGCAGAAAACAUAGAGAAAGUCAACAAGGGAGUAGGAGUUGAAAAUGUUCAUUAUCUUAACGACGGACUGUGGCACAUGAAGACGUAUAAGUGAGAUGUCAUUACCCACCCCCUGGACAACAUGGAGCUCUUGACAGCGAGGCUUCCAGUCAAUUGUUUACACCAAAGCUGGAGGCUUUGCACCAACCUCCAAUUGAUGCACAAAUAAAAACCUGCAUUUAAAGUUAUUUUCCAUUCUUUUGCACUGCCUUUACAUUUCAUGGUUUCUUUGCUAAAGUCGUUGGGACUCACUUGCAACCAGGAGAAAAACAUCUGAAAUGGAUUGUAGAUCAUAGUACCAUGUAUAUAAUGUUACAUGACAUGAAAUCAAUAAAGAAUUCUCUGGCGAGUUGGAGGCUAAAGAAAGAUGAAAUCAGAUUUUUAGGGGGUCAGUUACA